UAAACUUUUCACGUUAUAACGUGAUAAACUUAUAUUUCUCUUUUGCCUGGGCUGCAGCUCUACGCUUCCGUGCCAAAUAAGUGAGAAUAAAGUAAUAUUAUAUGAGAAAAGGCACCUGCUAGCUUGAUGAUGGAGGCUUCAUAGACCGGCCACCCGUCUUUUGGCUUCUUGUCGCCACUCCACCAAAUAAAGGUCCGUUUCCUCCAUGCCGGCUAAUUAUUCAUCCUCAUUAAAAUCUCGUAUAUGUUCAGUUGGCAGGAUUGAGAAUUUUACAUCUUCCAACCACUUAAUUAACGCGAACAUAAUCGGCUUGUUUCUUCCCGUCUCCUGUAUCCGGCCGUUCCUCUCACUGUCGGAAUUCGCGCCUCAGAGAGGUCGUUAUUUUUCAAAAAAAAAAAAAGAAAGAAAAAAGAAAGAAAGAAACAGCAACAACUAAUAAAGAGAGUUUUUGCACGUUCAUUGCACAUUUGUGGGAAUGUUUAAAUAUUAAAUUUUUAUUAAUUGCUUUUCAUUAUAUCUUUAUUUUUAAACCACCAUGGCAAUGCACAUGCGCAUACUCCUGCACGCAAAGGGCUUUGGAGUUGACGUAAUGUCGCAAUGCAUUGUGGGAGCGCAGCACCAUCUUGGCAGGCUGCGAAUCAAAACAAGAUUGCCACGAACCAUUCUGAAACGUAGCUCAAAAGAAAAAUGACGGUAUAGAGACAGAUUGUGUCCAGAUGCAAAGAGAUGGUACUUGAUUGCUGAAAUGUGGACCCGUAUGAAAUACUGCCGUGGAGUAGAAACCCUGAAGACCAAACCGCUAUUGACUUAGCAUGAUCUACUCUCGUACCUUGUCUGUGGAGUCAGCGCAUACACGGCGCACCAAUUUCGCAAUUAUAAAUCUCUGGAGGCGCACAUCCAAUUCACCAAGGACUGGGUACAAGAUUUGGCUAUUUUUAAGCCUCCACGUUGUGAGUACACCGUCAUUCAAGCAAAGGUACUGCACUCUUAAAGACUGAAUUGCAGCAUUGCAGCCACAGGUGAUUGUGAGCAUCACAGGGAAGGUUGAAGCCGCCCACUGCACCUUUAUGGCCGGAGUCGUGGAGACCUGCAGCCAUGUCCCUGCUCUUCUGUUUAAUGUAGAAGCAACAGUGCCGAUCUGUGGCACAAGGACUGUUACAGAUGAACCUGCAUACUGGGUUUUGCCUGGUAAUAUGACCAAGACACAGCCAGAGGUUGGCCAUAAGAUAGACUUCUCCUCUUCAGCUGCCCAAAAAGGCUCUCGAUCAAAACAUAAACAGACCAUCUGUAGUGACAGGUAAAAGAAGCCGUCCUCAAAA
ensembl:lncRNA